UGGGGAAUAUUGGACAAUGGGCGCAAGCCUGAUCCAGCAAUGCCGCGUGUGUGAAGAAGGCCUUCGGGUUGUAAAGCACUUUUAUCAGGAGCGAAACGCUGUCGGCUAAUACCCGGCGGAACUGACGGUACCUGAGGAAUAAGCACCGGCUAACUUCGUGCCAGCAGCCGCGGUAAUACGAAGGGUGCAAGCGUUAAUCGGAAUUACUGGGCGUAAAGCGUGCGUAGGCGGUUUCUUAAGUCUGCUGUGAAAUCCCCGGGCUCAACCUGGGAAUGGCAGUGGAUACUGGGAGGCUAGAGUGUGUCAGAGGGUGGUGGAAUUCCCGGUGUAGCGGUGAAAUGCGUAGAGAUCGGGAGGAACAUCAGUGGCGAAGGCGGCCACCUGGGACAACACUGACGCUGAGGCACGAAAGCGUGGGGAGCAAACAGGAUUAGAUACCCUGGUAGUCCACGCCCUAAAACGAUGCGAACUGGAUGUUGGUCUCAACUCGGAGAUCAGUGUCGAAAGCUAACGCGUUAAGUUCGCCGCCUGGGGGAGUACGGUCGCAAGACUGGAAACUCAAAUGAAUUGACGGGGUCAUAGCUGUUUCCUG
rnacentral:rRNA from 1 species